UUUUCUCAGGAGAGUGAGGUGAU
rnacentral:snRNA from 1 species